UUAAUUCUGAAAUAUUCGUUAAGCUCUUAUUUUGAACCUACACUUAAACUACGGGAGCUCAAUUAUUUAGAUGAGACAAUGUACUUUCUUAUGAGUCCUUGCACGGCAUUGAAGGCGAUUUAAACAUCUGUGAGGGCACCCACCUAUCGAAGGAUAGGGAUCAAAAUUAGAGUACCGCUAUUUUGGAUAAUAU
rnacentral:other from 1 species